GACGAACGCUGGCGGCGUGCUUAACACAUGCAAGUCGAGCGGUAAGGCCCUUUCGGGGGUACACGAGCGGCGAACGGGUGAGUAACACGUGGGUGACCUGCCCUCAGCUCUGGGAUAAGCCUGGGAAACUGGGUCUAAUACUGGAUAUGACUCCACGGUGCAUGUCGUGGGGUGGAAAGCCUUGUGCGGCUGAGGAUGGGCCCGCGGCCUAUCAGCUUGUUGGUGGGGUGAUGGCCUACCAAGGCGACGACGGGUAGCCGGCCUGAGAGGGCGACCGGCCACACUGGGACUGAGACACGGCCCAGACUCCUACGGGAGGCAGCAGUGGGGGAAUCUUGCGCAAUGGGCGAAAGCCUGACGCAGCGACGCCGCGUGAGGGAUGACGGCCU
rnacentral:rRNA from 1 species